rnacentral:rRNA from 1 species
UACAGAGGGUGCGAGCGUUAAUCGGAAUUACUGGGCGUAAAGAGCGCGCAGGCGGUCGUUCAAGUCGAAGUCGUGAAAGCCCCCGGCGUCAACUGGGGAGGGUCAUUCGAUACUGAUCGACUCGAAGGCAGGAGAGGGAAGCGGAAUUCCCGGUGUAGUGGUGAAAUGCGUAGAUAUCGGGAGGAACACCAGUGGCGAAGGCGGCUUCCUGGCCUGUUCUUGACGCUGAGGCGGCGAAAAGCUGAGG